UUGCAUACCUUGGCAGCAAAUAUACUAAAAUUGGGAUGAUACAGAGAUUAGCAUGGCUCCUGCCUAAGGAUGAUAUGCAAAUCCGUGAAGUGUUCCAUAUUUUU